rnacentral:rRNA from 1 species
UACGUAGGGAGCAAGCGUUGUCCGGAAUCAUUGGGCGUAAAGCGCGCGCAGGCGGCCCUGUAAGUCCGUUGUGAAAGUCAAAGGCUCAACCUUUGAAAGCCGAUGGAUACUGCAGGGCUAGAGUCCGGAAGAGGCGAGUGGAAUUCCUGGUGUAGCGGUGGAAUGCGCAGAUAUCAGGAGGAACACCAAUAGCGAAGGCAGCUCGCUGGGACGGUACUGACGCUAAGGCGCGAAAGCGUGGGGAGCAAACAGG